GCAUAAAUAAAGCCUGAACAAACAGAAUAAAUUAUGAACUGUUAAUAAAUCAAAAUGGAUUUGUUCUUUAGCCAUAAACAUUGCAUUGGAGUAAAUGAACAUUUUUUUUAUUCAGAACAUUCACCAAAGCUUCUUAAUGAAAGAUGGCAUAGUUUAUAGGAUAAUUUAUUAAAAGAAACAAAGAUCAUGAGCAAAUACUUCAUAAGUG
rnacentral:misc_RNA from 1 species